rnacentral:rRNA from 1 species
AACGAACGCUGGCGGCAGGCUUAACACAUGCAAGUCGAGCGCCCCGCAAGGGGAGCGGCAGACGGGUGAGUAACGCGUGGGAAUCUACCCAUCUCUACGGAAUAACGCAUGGAAACGUGUGCUAAUACCGUAUACGUCCUUCGGGAGAAAGAUUUAUCGGAGAUGGAUGAGCCCGCGUUGGAUUAGCUAGUUGGUGGGGUAAAGGCCUACCAAGGCGACGAUCCAUAGUUGGCCUGAGAGGAUGAUCAGCCACACUGGGACUGAGACACGGCCCAGACUCCUACGGGAGGCAGCAGUGGGGAAUAUUGGACGAUGGGCGCAAGCCUGAUCCAGCCAUGCCGCGUGAGUGAUGAAGGCCCUAGGGUUGUAAAGCUCUUUCACCGGUGAAGAUAAUGACGGUAACCGGAGAAGAAGCCCCGGCUAACUUCGUGCCAGCCGCCGCAGUAACAC